ACAGGGUUUCACCGUGUGAGCCAGGAUGGUCUCAAUCUCCUGACCUCGUGAUCCACCCGCCUCGGCCUCCCAAAGCGCUAGGAUUACAGGUGUGAGCCACUGCGCCCAGCACACUCUUCAAAAACUCUUGAACAAGAUAUGAUGAGCUUCUGCGUAGCGAAUGCAUCUUUGUGCAGGGAGGGUGGUGUACCUUAACUCCACAAAGGAUCAAAGCUUCUACACUCAGGACCCUUCUGGACCUUGCCCUAUGCACCUCUUCAUCUAUAUCCUUUGGAAGUUCCUGUUAUCACUGGCAUCUCAACAUCUGGAAAUCCCUGAAUGAGUCCAGCUUUUUAAUUUAACAGAAUAGAAGUGAGGCCCCUGGCAGGGAAGUGUCUUGCCCAAGGUCACAAAGCUGGUUAGCAAAUAAGGGCAUUGGACCUGAGAACUUGAUGCCCACGCUCCCUCCUGCCCUCCUCCUCUUCUCAGGGCACUGCACUGGAACACUGGGUGUUCCUCACGUGAUUGGGUGAGACCCAUGAAAUGCAUGAGGAGAAUAAAAGUCUCGUGUUGACAUCAGCGACCAAGGGAGCCCAUCACCUGCAGUCCUGAGGCCGCACCUGUUAAGGGGUCCUACGCUGGUCUCCUAAUGCCUGCAUUCACUAUUGGGUACUGCUGUGUUCCCUCCCUUUGCCAACUAGAAAGUCUUUGUUUUCAGCUGCUUUUGCUUUUGCGGGAUGGACAAGACAAUCCUUAUGCAAUGAAGGCAAAAUAACGUUGGCUUGAAGACUGCCCACUCUGAACAUCUUCCUAUAUUGUUAUUGUGGAAAAACCCCACAUAGAGAUGAGCUCUCAGGAACAUCACAAAAUCUCCCAUGUUCUCAAAAAACCACAAUUAAUUAAGCUACUUCAGAAAAUACUGAUAGACUGACAGACCCCUAACUAGCCUGACACAAGCAGGUGCCACUAUAUUGAUCUGGGGGGCUUGGGGAUCAGGAUCUUAUUUGUAUUUUUCCUGAUUCCUCAGAAUGAGAGACAGGGGUUUUAUGUUCUUAGCUGGAGGAUUGCGGCAGGGAAAAGCAUUUCCUACAGACUCAUGUAUUUUUGCCAAGUAAAUGUCGUAGUAAAUAAUAUUACAAAGAAAAAGAAAAAUUAGAUUUUUCUCAUACCUAACUCAUGCUGGAAAUUUAUUUUUCUAGAAUUUAUUGCCUUCAAACCAAUAAGUGAGACUUUUUGAGAAACAAUAUGUGUAUAUGUAUAUGAACAUGAUUAUAUAUGUAUGUGUGUACGUAUAUGAAUGUGUAUAUGAAUAUGAAUGUGCAUAUGAAUAUAUAUAAAUAUGUGCAUGUAUAUAUGUAUGUAUACACACACACACACAUUUCAAUCUCCAGGAGAAACUUGAACGGCUCCAGGGAUCACCAUGGAGAUCACCAGGGAUCUCCAGGAGAAACUUCACAGGCUUCGAGGAUCACCAUAGAACUGAAUGUAUUUAGUUAGGGCAGUGUUACAAAGUGGUUAUGACUGAUGAGCUGGAGAGACUGAAGUCACUAAGAAAGCAGCAGGAUUUAACCCCACUUGUGGGAACCAGCCUCCAAGAGGGCCCGCGGUGAUUCUUUGUUGGUUUCGUGCCCUCUGUAAUCACUAGGACUUGGAUGGGAUGACAGCGUGUAACAUAUGAUACAAGGUCAUGAAAGGCAUUGUACCUUCCAUGUGCCACCUUGCCCUCUUCGAUCACGCAUUCUGGAGCAAGCCAGCUUCCCUGUCAUGAGAACACUCAGGCAGUCUCAUGGAAAGGGCCACCUGGCAAGGAACAAGGAACAAAGGCUACGUGCUACCAGCCAAACAAAACUGGGCACCGGUCCUGGAAUCAGAUCCUCCAGCCCCAUCAAGCUUUCAGAUGACUGCAGCCCCAGCCGGCAACUCAACUCGUCUCAUGAGCGAUCCCAUCUGUAUAUAAUUAAUAUAUAGGUAUUAACUGAGACAUAUUUCACAUGCCAGAGAACACAUCCAAAGUACAUAGUUCAAUGGUUGUUAGUAUAUUCACAAAGUUGUGCAGACAUUACCACAAUCUAAUUUUGGAACAUUUUUAUCACUACAAAAACAAACCCUCUACCCAUCAGCAGAUAUUCCCCAUUCUCACUCUCCUCCCCACCUCUAGGAAACCAGUAAUUAUUUUGUUUCUGUAGAUUUGCUUAUUCUCACCAUUUCACAUUAAUGGAAUCAUUUACUAUGUGGCCUUUAAUUUCUGGUUUCUGUCACUUAACAUGACAUUUUCAUGUUUACCCAUAUGGUAGCAUGUAUCAGGGUUUCAUUCCCUUUCAUGGCCAGAUAACAUUCUAGUAGAUACAACACAUUUUGUUUAUCUGUCGUUCACUAGUUAUAGGACAUUUGGGUUGCUUCCAAUUUUUGGCUUUUAUGAAUAAUGCCACUAAUGAAGAUUUGUGUACAAGUUUUUGUACACAAAUAUUUCAUUUCUCUUGGGUAUAUCCCUAGGAGUGGAAUUGCUGGGUCAUAUGGUAACUCUAUGUGUAACCUUUUGAGGAAUUGCAAGUGUGUUUUCCAAAGCAGCUGCUCUAUUUUACAUUUCUAGUAUUAUCGUUUGAGGGUUUCAAAUUCUCGGCGUCCUCACCAGUAGUGUAUGAGGCUUUCAAAUUCUCUGCUUCCUGAAUUCUACUAAUUCACCAACACAAAUUAUUAUUAUCCAUCUUUUUUAUUAUAGCCAUCCUUGUGGGUGUGAAGUGGUAUCUUGUUGUGGUUUUGAUUUGCAUUUUCCUGAUGGUUACUGAUGGUGAGCAUCUUUCAAUAUGCUUAUUGACCAUUUGUAUAUCUUCUUUGGAGAAAUUUUUAUUUAUAUCCUUUGUCCACUUUUUAAUGAGAUUACUUGUGCUUUUAUUAUUGACUCAUAAAAUUUCUUUAUAUAUUAUAGAUACAAGUGCCAUAUCAAAUAUAUGAUUCACAAAUAUUCUCACAUUCUAUGUGUUGUCUUUUUCUUCAUGGCAUUCUAUGAGCACAGAAGUUUUUAAUUUUAAUGUAAUCCUAUAUAUAUAUAUUUUUUUUCUUUUGUCACUUGUGCAUUUGGUAUCAUAUCUAAGAAACUAUUGCCUAGCUCCAGGUCAUGGAGAAUAUACUCCUAUUUUCCUUUAAGAGUUUUAUAGUUUUACCUUUUACAUUUAUGUCUUUGAUCCAUUUUGAGUUAAUUUUUGUAUAUGGUGGGAGGUAAUUGUCUGAUCUCAUUCCUCUGCAUGUGGAUAUCUAGUUGUUCCAGCACCAUUUGUUGAAAAGACUUUUCUUUCCCCAUUGGAUGGUCUUGGCAUCCUUAUCAAUAAUUUGGGUUUAUUUCACAUAGGUUUAUUUCUAGACUCUCAUUUCUAUUCCAUUGAUCUAUAUUGCUAUCCUUAUGCCACAACUACACUGUCUUGAUUACUGGUGUUUUAUACUAAGCUUUGAAAUAAAGAAGUGUGUGUCCUACAACUUUGUUCUUCUUUUUCAAAGCAACAAAUUCCUAGCUUAUAGUUUAUCUAAGAAUGC
rnacentral:lncRNA from 10 species